CUUCCUUCCCCUCCCCCCCACAUACAAGACUGUUUCUCGUAGCCUUUACUCCUCCAUGUCCUCCUCCUCCUUCUCCUUCUUUUCCUUCUCUUCCACUUUUCCUUUUACUCUUCUCUUCCUCCUCUCGACCACAAACAGCUGGAUGUAUCUACUACUACUACUACUACUACUACUACUACUACUACUACUACUUCUACUACUACCACUACUACCACCACCACUCCAACUAUACUUAUCUUACUACUGUCUCAAUUACCACCCACCCACACCACCACCACCACCUCCACCACCUCCAUUUUCAUUGUUCCCUGGAGAAAAAUAACUCAGCACAACUACAAAAUUGCUGGCGGGUGCUUCACGAAAUUACCCGAUACCUGCACCUUUUCCUUUUUCUUUGGGAGUCUCGCCAGAACGCCACCACAUCCAUCAUCACACUGUGCGAAAAAAAAUAUACGAGGGCGAGAUGGAAUACAAGAAAGAGAUCGAGGGAGACGGAAAUAAAAAUAAGAAGAAAAGUAGACAGCAACAAAGAAACAAAAGAGAUAGGAAGAAAAAACGAGAACGAGAUGGAAUACAAGAAACUGAUCGAGGAAGACGAAAAUAAAAACAAGAAAAAAAUUAGACAACAACAAAAAAAGAGACAGGAAGGAAAAACGACCAAACAGGAUACAGAAAAAAAUAGUAAAAAAAUAAAGUAAAAAAAAAUAGACACAUACAUAACCCCAACCAGACCUUUUCCUCCGCACCAUUGAGAGAAAUAUUGUGUUAAUCUCCUCGCUUGGGUACGAUUCGAAAUAUAUAAAAAAAAGACGCUCAAAAAAUUAUUGGGAGUUUAGUUUUCGCAGUGAGUUAUAGUAAGCAGGUUAUAGAGAGGAAAUGAAGGAGUAUGGGGGAGGGGAGAUAAGAAGAAGGUGGUUUGAAAGAAGAAGAAAGGAAGGAAGGAAGGAAGGACGGGGGAGAGGAAGAUAGUAAAUAGAUAGGAAUGAAGAAUAUAUAUAUUAAAAAACGUACCAUGACAGUAGGGAAAGGAAACACAAAAAGGAGGACAGGGAAAAAGGUGAGGUGUGAGGGACAAAUUUGAAAAGGAAGCACAAGAAAAAAAGAAAUGAAAGGUCAGGAAUGUAAAGAAGAAAACUGUUUAAUAAUUCAGAAAAGGUGAGGAAUGAAGAAUGUAUUGGAGAUGGCGCAAAGAAGAGGUUAGAAAGGGAACGAGGUAGGGUGUGAGAGACAAAUUUGAAAAGGAAGCACAAGAAAGAAAAAAAAAGUCAGGAAUGUAAAGAAAAAAUGCGUUGUAAUUCAGAAAAGGUGAGGAAUCAAGAAUUAAGGUUUUAGAGGAACUGACGCAAAGAAGGUGAGAGGGACAAAUUUGAAAGGGAUACACCAGAAUAGAAG